CAACGGGCCCCACUGCUAUUGUGCUGGUCCCAGGGAGUAACAAUUGCUGUCUGCCCUAUAUAAAAACCAUGGUGACUCCAUGUAGAAACUCCAGUCUUCUGAGACACUGAAUCGCAGAACUCUCCAUGAACCUGGAGCUUACUGAUUCAAUGCCUAGGUGACCCCCAAGCUCCAAGGAUCCUCCAGGCCCUGCCUUCCCAGCACUGGGAUGACAGGUGUAUGCCCUGUGGUGUGGAAUAAUAUUCUAACCAGGCGAAGGCCAGUGAACUCCAGGGACCCACGAUUGCUGGGACUUCAAGCAAAUGGCUGCCAUACUCAGUUUUUAUAUGGGUUCUGGGUUUCUCUGUGUAGCCCUAGCUGUCCUGGAACUCACUCUGUAGACCAGGAUGGCCUUCAACUCACAAAGAUCUGCCUGAUUCUGCUUCCUGAGUGCUGGGAUUAAAGGUGUGCAACAACACCACCAGGCAAAGGUUGUACUUUCAAAGGGAAGUGUUUGUAGCUCACACAACCAACCAGGAGAAGGAUGCAGUGAAGUUGGAGUCUCAAGCCUGGAACCAAGAACCUAAAGUCUUUCCCAUCCUGCUCUGAUGGUGAAGAGAGGAGAGGCAGUGCCAGAGGAAGAAGAAGAGGAGGAGAGAAGAGAGAUGUAUAUUUAAGUGACCAGAAUCAAACCCCAGCCACCUCAGAGGAGGCUGCCUCUCUCAGAAGAGGCUCUGCUGCAGAGGAGGGUGAAAUAAGGGACACGGUGAUGGUGCUCCUGUCUUUUGACCAACUAUGUCAGCAAAGUGGGGUAGUCUGUCAGAGAUGACUCAGAUUGGCCCCAUUCUGUUCCUUGGGAGCUAACCUCUGCACCCAUGCCUACAGUCAGAGCUGGGGCUCUGUGAUUGGCCAGUCUCAGUUCACAUGUUAAUCUUGCAUCUAGAGAGCAAGGUCUGUCACUGGAGAAGAUACUGGAGCAGGAAGGAAGAGGUGCCCGGGCGCUUGCCAGCUCGGAACUGGGCAGCCAUCCCAAAUGUGUAUGCAACUGUUGCCUUGGCUGAGUUUAUGAGCCGAAGGUCGUGGUCGCCCUAUUUUUGGAACAGCAGGAAAAAGCAACUGCUUCUAACUUGCAAAAUGGUAACUUUCCACAAAAACAGCAGAGGCAGAUCUGUGGGAAGGCCCCAACCUCCUGCACCUGAACCUUGGAGAGGCUACUACCUCAGGUGGUCGCCAUACUUUUAAGGUCAAAGCAGUCCCAGAGGCAAAAGUCUUCCUGUCAUUUUCUCCUGCUCUUACAAGAAACAGGGUCAGGACAGAAAAUAAACUAAAUGGAAACAAUAAAGCUUGUGCCCAUGGGUCCAGGACCACA